rnacentral:rRNA from 1 species
UACGAAGGGGGCUAGCGUUGUUCGGAAUUACUGGGCGUAAAGCGUAUGCAGGCGGACUUUUAAGUCGGGGGUGAAAGCCUGGAGCUCAACUCCAGAACUGCCAUUGAAACUGUUGGACUUGAGUACGAGAGAGGUGAGUGGAAUUCCCAGUGUAGAGGUGAAAUUCGUAGAUAUUGGGAAGAACACCAGUGGCGAAGGCGGCUCACUGGCUCGUAACCGACGCUCAGGCGCGACAGCGUGGGGAUCAAACAGG